rnacentral:rRNA from 1 species
AUUGAACGCUGGCGGCAUGCUUUACACAUGCAAGUCGAACGGCAACGCGGGCUUCUGCCUGGCGGCGAGUGGCGAACGGGUGAGUAAUGCAUGGGAACGUGCUGAGUAGUGGGGUAUAGCCCUGCGAAAACCCGAUUAAUACCGCAUACGACCUGAGGGUGAAAGCUGGGGACCGAAGGGCCUCGCGCUAGUGGGGCGGCCGAUGUCGGAUUAGCUAGUUGGUGGGGUGAAGGCUUACCAAGGCGACGAUCCGUAGCUGGUCUGAGAGGACGACCAGCCACACUGGGACUGGGACACGGACAAGACUCCUACGGGAGGCAGCAGUGGGGAAUUUUGGACAAUGGGGGCAACCAUGAUCCAGCCAUGCCGCGUGCGGGAAGAAGGCCUUGGGGUUGUAAACCGCUUUUGUUCGGGAAGAAAUGCUCUGGGCUAAUACCCAGGGGGGAUGACGGUACCGGAAGAAUAAGCACCGGCUAACUACGUG